rnacentral:lncRNA from 1 species
AUGAUGAAGUUAAUUUGGAGGGAGAAGACUUUAGAAUUCUUAUGCACACUGAUCAUUACACAAAGCGAUCACUUCAAUGUAUGGGGUAUCAGAAAGUGAAUGACCAAUGAGUGUGCGGAGGUGGUGAUGAUCAGGUUGAGGGGACACCCUCUAGCUCUCCAUCCAGUUCACCUCCUUCCUUUAUACCAACUGCAGGCCC